rnacentral:tRNA from 1 species
GGGGUUGUAGAUCAGUGGUAGAGUGCUUGCCUCGCAUGCAUGAGGCCCUGGGUUCGAAUCUCAGCACCA